GGAAGUAUUUCGGUACGUAAAGUUCUUUUAUUAGGGAAGAAAAGAUGGUGGAAAAACCAUUAUGACGGUACCUAAUGAAUAAGCCCCGGCUAACUAUGUGCCAGCAGCCGCGGUAAUACAUAGGGGGCAAGCGUUAUCCGGAAUUAUUGGGCGUAAAGGGUGCGUAGGCGGUUAAAUAAGUUUAUGGUCUAAGUGCAACGCUCAACGUUGUGAUGCUAUAAAAACUGUUUAGCUAGAGUUGGAUAGAGGCAAGUGGAAUUCCGUGUGUAGUGGUAAAAUGCGUAAAUAUACGGAGGAACACCAGAAGCGAAGGCGGCUUGCUGGGUCUUAACUGACGCUGAGGCACGAAAGCGUGGGGAGCAAACAGGAUUAGAUACCCUGGUAGUCCACGCCCUAAACGAUGAGUACUAAACGUUGGAUAAAACCAGUGUUGAAGUUAACACAUUAAGUACUCCGCCUGAGUAGUACGUACGCAAGUAUGAAACUUAAAGGAAUUGACGGGACUCCGCACAAGCGGUGGAUCAUGUUGUUUAAUUCGAAGGUACCCGAAAAACCUCACCAGGUCUUGACAUGCUUUUGCAAAGCUGUAGAAAUACAGUGGAGGUUAUCAGAAGCACAGGUGGUGCAUGGUUGUCGUCAGCUCGUGUCGUGAGAUGUUGGGUUAAGUCCCGCAACGAGCGCAACCCUUGUUGUUAAUUGCCAUCAUUAAGUUGGGGACUUUAGCAAGACUGCCAAUGAUAAAUUGGAGGAAGGUGGGGACGACGUCAAAUCAUCAUGCCCCUUAUGACCUGGGCUACAAACGUGAUACAAUGGCUGUAUGAAAAU
rnacentral:rRNA from 1 species